UUGCCAUAUCCAAUCAAAUAUUAUGCAGAUCUCUUUUAAAUUCAACAUAUUUAUUCUCAAAAGAUUUUCAAGCUGGUGUAUUCGUUGGAUGUCUUAGUUCUCCAUCUUCUACUCUCUUAUUAUAGUGCCACCUCAUAUAUUCUGCAAUCUCAAGUAACAUAUACAGCUUUUGUAAUCUUGGCUUGAUUGAAAAAUAUCUUAGCACCUUGUGUGGGAUAUUUUUUCUUACACUUGUUUCAACACUAUCCUUCCAUCUAGAUAAUCCGCAAAUGGGACAAUACUGUGCAUCAAUCAAUGACUCUCA
rnacentral:lncRNA from 1 species